rnacentral:lncRNA from 1 species
GCUGGGGCGGCCGGGGCGGGGAGGCCGGGCGGCGCCGGCGAGCCGCGAGGACCCUGCGCAGUGGGCCGGGCGCGAGCCCGCUCCCGUCCCCUCCGGAGCGGGCGGAGGGAGGAAGUGGAGCCCGGGGGUGGGAGCGAGGCCCGCGGCGGACCCCCGCUCCGUCCCUCUGGGAGCCGCGGACCCAGCCCGCCGCGGGGUUGGGUCUUGCCUCUCCUCUUGGAUUGGAAGGCAGAGGCUGUCUCCAAACCAGCCGGCCUCGGAGGCGUGUUUGGUAAGAGUUUGGCAAAGAUUCUUGGGCUGAGGGGAGGCUGUUCAAGGGACGCGUUGAUGGAGCGCCCCUGGCCCCUGGACAGCACUUUGCCCAAGCUCUCUGGACUCUGUUGUCUUGAGGGUCACAAGAUCUUCCAUAGCCCCUACUUUGGACAGACUUAGGAUUGGUGCCUGGAAGCCAGCAGCAGCCGCACCGACAGGAACACGGAUCAGGGUUGUCACCCCUAGUUUUGCAGAAGAAAACAAAAUAAUUCCAGGCUCCGUGUUUAGCAACUUACAUGCGUUCCUCACAAAAGCCCUGGCAGGUAGCAAUUACUUUACCCAUGUUAUAGGAAGGAAACUGAGACAGGCCCCCGACCCCCAACUGAUUGGCUCAAGGUUAUACACAGAUCUGCUUCUUCCCAAAACUGUGGUUUAAUCUCCUCCAAAUGUGAAGGAAACUGAGGCCCAGGGAAGUUACAUCCAGCUAAUUGGUGCUAGGACAGGACAGAACCUCCCUCCCAGUUCCUCCUGUAUCUGGUCUCUGGUGUGUGCCUGGCUUUGUGCAGAGGAAUGCAUUUCUUCCCUAUCCUCCUCCGGAUCUAUUUUAAAAGAAAAGACAUUUCCUGUUCUUAAAGCCAAGUUCAAAUGCCACUGCUUUCCUGAUGCUUUCCCUGUGACACCACUUGAUACCUCUCAUGGGACUUAGCAAAUAAUUGCAACAAGGCAUACUAUGUGUUAGUUAAACCUAACUUGAGGGCCCACGGUGUGCCGGACUGAAGGCCUACUAUGUCUGUAAACUCCCCUCCUUGCAGGCAGGAAGCACAUUGUUUAGGUUUCUCUUUUAUCUCACAUAAGAUGCUUUUAAAAUUCUCUAGGGAAGGAGUGAACAGUUAUGUUUCUGUCCUCAACAAGCUGCAUUGGAUUUGAAGAAAUACGCAGAAACAUGCUAAGGACUAACACCCAAGGUUGAGAAUAGAAAUGUAAAGAGAACUUGGACAGCAAACUAUUGGGCUGUAUGCAGGAAGUCCUUCUGGGGCUGAAAUACCUCAAAGAAUGGAUUUGCAUAGGAGAGCAGGGAGGAUAUUUCUGUGGCAGAAGUGGGGUGAGUUCAGGACACCUGCCUCUGCAUGAAGGGUGUGUGCUGCAUAUAGAGAUGAGCCAGUGGAGUGGGUCCAGAUGCCAGAGGGCUACAAUAGUCACUAUUAGUGAGGGAGGCCAGAGUAAAUUAUAGCAGGUCCUGCAGCGGAACCUGCUAUAACAUAAUCAUCUGCCCCAGACAGAGGACCAUCCUCACACUUGGUGGCUACCAGGAACGAUAGUAAAAUACUUGGUUCCACAGGGCACAGGACGCUACCUGGGUGGCACAGAGAUGGCAGAGGAAAACGGACAACCCAGCAGAUUAGAAGGUUCUCAGAAGAACCUGCUUUAAAAACGGUCCAGCUGUGUUCAAAUUGUGCUUGGAAUUUCUAGUGCACAAAAGAGAUCAUCCUCCUUCAGGCAGUCAUCCAUGUCGGGGGCAGAGACAGUGAUAAUGCAGAACAGCUUGCUGGGGCCCAGCCAAAUGCUGGCCCCGGAGGCGGGAGACCUGCUUUUUGAGCCUUGGCUCUGCCACCAGUGUGACCUUGGGAAGUGUACUUAACCUCCUCUCGGAGUUUCAGGGUCACCCCUUCUGUAAAGUGCAUCUCUAAAGAUCGUAUUAUUUAUAUAAACCUCUUUCUUAGAGAGAAUAGUCAUCUGAUAUGGAGAACAGUUCAGUGAUACCUACGCUUUUUUUUUCAGCUGGCAGACUGCAGGCCAGAGAUAGAAUGGAAGGAUUCUCAGCUUGUGCUUCUACCUGGAAGAACAGAGGGUGGGGCGAGGGGACUGUAGCUUUCAGUGUUUCCCUCUCACCGUUUUUUUCCUCUGGGCGCAGUGAGUAUGAUGGUUAAGAUGGCUCUGGAACAAACCAACUUGGGUUCAGACUCAAUGGACUACAGAGUGUGACCUCUCUGAACCUCAGUGUCUUCAUCUUUAAGAUGACAGUUACAAGAACUACUUUCCCAGGUUGUUGUAAGGAUUAAAUGAGAGACACCAUAUGACUCUAGACACAUAGAGGAAGGCUCCAUGAGAAAAAGGUAGCUAACAAUUUGCAGAGUCACCAGGGGCAAGUAUAACUUCACAGAGUUUCUGUGUCUAGACUUCAAGGAUUUUCUUUCAUCCUUAGUUCUUGGAUCUCCAGCACCAUAUGUGGCUUACAAACCACACGCUAUGAUGUGUUGAACUAAAAAAGGCAGCAGUGUUUUCCUUUAAGUAGGGCUCCACUGUGGUGUUUGGUUACACCCAGAGGAGGAGGCUGGCCAGUGGUCAUGGGAAUGUCUAGGGCAGCAAGGUCCAGUGGCUUUUGGAGAUUUCCAUUCUGCUGUCCCCUUUUCUGAGCCAGCACAGGACACAUUUAGGGGAGUUUCUCCUUCCCUUUUCCUCCUGACUCCUCCAUCCCUUCUCCCCAGAGUAUACUGGAUGGUCAGGAAUGCAGCUGGAACCAGAGACAUCUCCUCCGACCAACCCAACUUGCCUCAUAAAAUCUGCGGACAGUGCGGACCUUAGACUAUAGGGUGAAGAUUUGUAAGCCCACAGCCCUCUCGGUUUCCCUCAUUUCAGUUAGAAUGCAUGGAGCUCUCCCGUGAGGGCCGGUUGCCUCUUCUCCUGUUCCAGGUUGACAAGGCCCACAGAGGCCAACAUGAGCCCUGAAAUGCUCUCCAAACUGAGGGUGGAUGGAGGUGGGGGGAGUUCUCCUUCACAGUUGGCUUUUCGUCCUAAUUGCUUUCGGCAUCUCCCACUUCCAGUAAACUCCACGGUGAGUUACCUGCUGAUGGAGCCACUGGCAGCUCACAUGCGGGUUAUUGAAACAACCUCCCACCUGGCCUCCCAGACCAAGAACCUGCUGCCCUGUUGUCUGUUUUCAGCAUAAAGUCGAGAACAUCUUCACUUAAAUAUAAGUCAAUUCAUGUCACACCUCUAUCCAAAACCCUCUGAUGACUUUCCAAGACAGGACAAAAGCCAGAAUUUUUACAGUGACCUCUCUGUUCCCAUGUUCUGCCCCCUGCCACCUCUUAUCUCAUCCUGUUACACCCCUUGCUGACUGCCUUCUGGCCACAUGGGCCUCCUUGUUGCUCCUCAGUAUGUUCCUACCUCAGAGCUUUGGAAUUUUGUUCCCUGGGCCUGGCAACUUUACCCCAGGUAUCUACAAGGUUCUUUACUUCUUCAAAUUAAAUGCCACAUUGACCACCCUAUGUAAAGGAACUUUAUUUAGUUCUAUCUUCUAUCCCCAGUGCCUAGAAUGAUGCCUAGUGCUCAAAAAAUGUUACAAAUAUCACAUUAUUAAAACUUGUCUACAUAGGGCCUUCCCUUUCAUAAGACAUCCAAGAGGGAGAACAGUGGAAGGAAGGAACUCAAUGAGUAUGGCCUCCAAGAGCUCCAGCACUAUGAUCUUGGGAACGAUGACAAUGGCAGUGAUGAUGGUGGCAACGGUGGAGGUGAUUCGAUGGUAAGAUGGUGGUGAUGGGAUGGUGACAGUGGUGGCAGUGAUGACAUCUAUGACAAUGAGCAGGAUGAUUGCUGCCACUGCUGGGCUGCAAGAGAGCUUCAGUGACACACGCCCUGUGGUCUUUGGUAUUUACUGAUCGCUUGCUGAAUGCCAGGCACCGUGCCAGGAGUUUUACCUUCAUUACCUCCUCUCAUUUCAGUGAGUCUCUGGUGUAGGCACCACAGCAGCACAUAUCCAGUGCCCAUGACACUGGACCACUUGCCCAAGGGGACACUACUUAAGAAUUGCAGAACAGGCUAGAAUCUAGGCAAUUGAGCCUAAAACUCACUCUCUGAGCUGGCAUACAAAUGUACAGACAGAGGAGGACAGAGGGCCUGAAGGGUAAGUAAACCCCAGGUAAACCCCAGGUACUUCAGAAGCAGUGGGAAUGUCUAGUUGGGAAGGGAGGGGAGGAGCCACAUCCCAGCCUUCCUCAAUCAAUUCACCUUUGCAAGGGCUCCUCUUACCGUGCUCUGGGUGGAAGUAUUUCACUCCUUAGGGGUGCUGUAGGCAGGAAAAGAAAUUAUAAGAGCCUCUGCCCUAGCGAAACAUUUUUUUAAAAUCCCUCCAAAUCUGGCUCCUUCUCUUUCCUCUCUCUAGCCUGGUUGCUCUCUCUAAUCCCUUCCUCCUCUGUGUUUAGCCAGACCCAGCUUCCCUGCAGUUGCCCUAAUUUACCCUCCCAUGAGGAACUCAGCUUCCUUGAUCUUUUUCCUGCCUUUCCUCCCAACCUGGAUAAGGUACCCAUCCCUGCUACACCUCCAGCUCCUAGGCUGUAGAACUCACCAUUCUAAUAGACUAGUUGUUUACUAUUCUCCACAAUAGAAGUUUCAGGGCAGAAGACUGAUCUGUUCCCUUUUUAUCUCCAGUGCAAGGUAGUUUGCCUGGACAGUAGGAGGCACUCAGCAUAUGAUGGAUGGAUGGAUGGAUGGAUGGAUGGAUGGAUGGAUGGAUGGAUGGAUGGACGGACGAACAGAUGGGCAGAAGGACAAAUAGAUGGAUGGUGUAUUCAUUUUCUCAAGCUUCUAUAACAAAAUACCACCAAAUGAGCACUGAGCUGGAACAAUGGAUAUUUAUUUUCUCACAUUUCUGGAGGCCAAAAGUCCAAAAUCAAGGGGUCAGCAGGUUUAAUUUCUUUCGAGGCCUCUUUCUCUGGCUUGUAAAUGAAUAGUCACCUUUCUGUGCCUUCCCGUGAUCUCACAUCUCCCUAGGUGUCCAAAUUUCCUCUUCUUAAAAGGACACCAGUCAGGUUGCAUCGGGACUCACCCUACAGCCUCCUUUAAACUUAAUCACCUCUUUAAAGACUGUUUCCAAAUGCAGUCACAUUAUGAGGUACUAGAGGACUUCGGUGUGAAUUUGGGGGUGGGGAAAGAAUGGAUAUGACAGUACAUGACUUAGAAUGCUAUGCCAAUUCUCUGCACCACUCUGUCAGGGUACCUAAGAGGAUGUUGAGAAAGGCUCAAAGAUUUGAGAGUUUAGUACUAGAGGUAUCUGGUGAAAAAUGCAACAUUUUAUGAGAGGCUCAG